rfam:Toxocara canis scaffold2173, whole genome shotgun sequence.
GCGGCAGUAGUUCAGUGGUAAAGCCCCGGCUUCGCAUGCGGGUAGACCUGGGUUCGAUUCCCAGCUGCUUUC